UUCAUACUCUAAAUAUAUUAUAUUGCCAAAUCGAUGGCGCGCUUUAUAAGUGGUACGAAAAUUAGCUCACAACUCUGCGAAAUAAAUAACUUAAGAAAAGGGAAUUCUCCAAAGUCCUAUAAAGCCUAUAAAUCCUCAUUUAACUUAUAUUAGUACAUUUUGGUACUCUAAGUAAGGAGAAUAAUAAUGGGAAUUCAAGUGUUAUAAUCUUCCAGGUAUUUUAUUGAUAUUGAGUACGAAUUCGAGUGUAUUUCAGUAACCCGAUAGCAGAGUAUCUUUUAGUUGAUCAAUUUUAAGAUACUUUUUUCAUUCUCAGAUAAGUAACUGCAACCAAAUUGAAUAUUUAAUCUAAAAAUAAUCGCACAAAGAAAUAUUGUUUCGUGGGCUUUUGCUCUUCUCUAGAAAGAGGGAAAUUCUUGAAGAGCUUAUUGCGUCGUAGAUUCUUCCCCUUUUCAUAGCAUGUCAUUCGAAUGUGUCAUUCGAAUGUAAGUACAUAAGUAGAUCUGUAUGACAUUGCCAUACGCCCCCACAAAAAUGUGGGUGUUUUGGACAAUUUCCCACGAUAUGCGUGUGAUGGGUUGCAGAAAAAAAAAAAACAUUUUGUCAAUAGCCCAGCAAUUCGAGCCACAAUAACAACACUUAACGCUUCGAGAAACAGUUAGUCAUAGUCAUGGCAAGAUCAGCAGACACUGCAAAAUAUUCGAAAACAACAAAAAAAAAAUGUUGACUGUAGCCGCAAGCGGCGGCCUUAUUGAAACACACGAGUGGAUACACCUUAUAUAUGUAUAAAUAUUAGGUACAAAUCGGGGCUCUUAGCCAUAAUUAGAGCGGACGACGCAGAGAGGGGCAGAGGCAAAGAGAUGGCGAGAGGCGGGCUGGACUCGCUCACGCACGGGCCCAGGUAGAAAAGAUUGAUGGAUGAAGCUGAAGCUGAAGCUGAGCUGCGCUCUGAAGUGUCAAAGCUGCAGCUCAGCAUUGAGCUGGCGACAUUGACCUUUAUUUGCCGUGUACAUAGACCAAAUUAAUGAUUCGCUUGUAGCUCAACAACAAUAACAACAAUUGCACGUGGCACGCUCCGGCUUCAGCCACCUGACCGAACCGCAAAGUGAACCAAUUUUGUUUUACCAAUUUGAUCAGCAUUUUGGUUUCGACCAUUUCAUGGCUCCAUUUCUACUGACUCAUGUGCGUUUAUUGCUGGCAGUUGCCUUUUUGCACACGAAUUUCGUUUCAUGAUUAGCCCCGCCAAUAACUGUAAAUCAUUCGGGCCAACAACAGCGACAGCUAGCACCACUCGCCGAUCAACGAUAUUGUGCUCCGACUGGAUUUCGUACAAGCCAACAUUUCAUCUCUGGAAGCGCUAAAUUACAGCUACACUUUUGGCUAACAGCUUGGUUCAAAGGCAGCUCCAAUGUCACCAGCAAUGCGGCUGCAAACGGAGGAGGGUUCCGGGCCGGAAUCUUCGCUGCUUCGUUUAUUGAAUGACUUUUCAAAAAUUACCGCGCUCAUUUGUGCUGAAAGUUAAAUUGAAGAAAUUUUGAUAAUGCUGAGAAUAUCAAUGCUACAUGAUAAAGUUGUCCAAUUCGGAAGGUUCCCCCUGCUAAAGAAAGCCGGACCUACGCAAACGGAUGGAAAGAGGGUUAGACGGACAUGGCUAUAUCAACUUGUAUGUUAAUGCUGAUCUGGAAUAUAUAUACUUUAUGAGGCUGGAGAUACCUCCAUCACUUCUCUACUUCAUGUCAAAAUUCAAGUGUAUCAAAAUGAGAUGAGUUAAGGUACGUAAUCAUAAAAGUCGCACAAGCAGAAAGAUAUAUGGUAUUUCAUCAGUAAUUGAUUCGACGUGUUAUUUACUUGGACGUUACUCACAAUACUUAUUAGUCAACCGUUUUAAAUGCUAAGACUAAAGAUUUGCCUGUGCAUUUAAUUGGCUUAAAAAUUCAACUGCGUUUGGUUUCGGGCCAUGUUUAUAGACAUAUCAAAUUUCGCCUUGGUUCGUUGUGCAAAGUUGAUGAUAUUUUUUAACCAGGGAUUGGUUAAAGUACUAACUUCAUAAGGAAUAUGUUUAAAAAAAAAAAAGUGAUUCAAUUAGGUUUAGACAAUGCUAAUGGGGAAACGCCUAAUGAAGACAAGGCUACGACUGUGGAUCUUAAAAUCAAGCUAAGUUUUGGUAUCCAACUUUGUUUUUCAUAUCAUUAAAUUCAUUAAUAAUAUUCAAAUGCAAGAACUAGUUUUCUUUGAACCUAUAGUUUCAAAUAAUACAAAAAUAAUAUUCAAUAUUCACAGAUAUAUUCGAAAAUAUAUUAGUUUAUGUAUCGAAAAAUUACGAAUAAAUAAAGAAGAUAUAUUUUUAUUGCACAUUA